GACGAACGCUGGCGGCGUGCUUAACACAUGCAAGUCGAACGGAAAGGCCCUGCUUUUGUGGGGUGCUCGAGUGGCGAACGGGUGAGUAACACGUGAGUAACCUGCCCUUGACUUUGGGAUAACUUCAGGAAACUGGGGCUAAUACCGGAUAGGAGUUCCUGCUGCAUGGUGGGGGUUGGAAAGUUUCGGCGGUUGGGGAUGGACUCGCGGCUUAUCAGCUUGUUGGUGGGGUAGUGGCUUACCAAGGCUUUGACGGGUAGCCGGCCUGAGAGGGUGACCGGCCACAUUGGGCCUGAGAUACGGCCCAGACUCCUACGGGAGGCAGCAGUGGGGAAUAUUGCACAAUGGGCGGAAGCCUGAUGCAGCAACGCCGCGUGCGGGAUGACGGCCUUCGGGUUGUAAACCGCUUUCGCCUGUGACGAAGCGUGAGUGACGGUAAUGGGUAAAGAAGCACCGGCUAACUACGUG
rnacentral:rRNA from 1 species